AGAGUUUGAUCCUGGCUCAGAAUCAACGCUGGCGGCGUGCCUAACACAUGCAAGUCGAACGGGAAAGUGGAGCAAUCCAUGAGUAUAGUGGCGACCGGGUGAGUAACACGUGACUAACCUGCCCUUGAGUGGGGGAUAACCUCGGGAAACCGGGGCUAAUACCGCAUAACAUCUUCAGGAUGAGAAGCUGGGGAUCAAAG
rnacentral:rRNA from 1 species